rnacentral:rRNA from 1 species
AGCAGCCGCGGUAAUUCCAGCUCCAAUAGCGUAUAUUAAAGUUGUUGCAGUUAAAAAAGCUCGUAGUUGAAUUUCGGGACCAAUUUGUUGGUCGUGCCUCGGUACGUACUGGUAUUAUUGGUUUCUCCCUUCUGAAGAACCAUGAUGCCAUUAAUUUGGUGUCGUGGGGGAAUCAGGACUGUUACUUUGAAAAAAUUAGAGUGUUUAAAGCAGGCAUACGCUUGAAUACAUUAGCAUGGAAUAAUGAAAUAGGACGUUUUGAUUCUAUUUUGUUGGUUUCUAGGAUCGACGUAAUGAUUAAUAGGGAUAGUUGGGGGCAUUAGUAUUCAAUUGUCAGAGGUGAAAUUCUUGGAUUUAUUGAAGACUAACUACUGUGAAAGCAUUUGCCAAGGAUGUU